GGAGAGAUGCUCGAGUGGCUGAAGAGGCGCGUCUGGAAAGCGCGUGACCGCCCAAAGCGGUUCCAGGGUUCGAAUCCCUGUCUCUCCG
rnacentral:tRNA from 1 species